rnacentral:rRNA from 1 species
UACGGGGGGAGCAAGCGUUGUUCGGAUUUACUGGGCGUAAAGGGCGCGUAGGCGGCCACCGCAAGUCAAUUGUGAAAUCUCCGGGCUUAACUCGGAAAGGUCAACUGAUACUGCGGGGCUAGAGUGCAGAAGGGGCAACUGGAAUUCUCGGUGUAGCGGUGAAAUGCGUAGAUAUCGAGAGGAACACCUGCGGCGAAGGCGGGUUGCUGGGCUGACACUGACGCUGAGGCGCGAAAGCUAGGGGAGCGAACCGG